CAAGCGGUGGAGCAUGUGGUUUUAAUUCGAUGCAAACGCGAAGAACCUUACCUACUCUCGACAUCCAGAGAACUUUCCAGAGAUGGAUUUGGUGCCUUUCGGGAACUCUGAGACAGGUGCUGCAUGGCUGUCGUCAGCUCGUGUUGUGAAAUGUUGGGUUAAGUCCCGCAACGAGCGCAACCCUUAUCCUUGUUUGCCAGCACGUAAUGGUGGGAACUCCAGGGAGACUGCCGGUGAUAAACCGGAGGAAGGUGGGGACGACGUCAAGUCAUCAUGGCCCUUACGAGUAGGGCUACACACGUGCUACAAUGGCGUAUACAGAGGGCUGCCAACUAGCGAUAGUGAGCGAAUCCCAGAAAGUACGUCGUAGUCCGGAUUGGAGUCUGCAACUCGACUCCAUGAAGUCGGAAUCGCUAGUAAUCGUGAAUCAGAAUGUCACGGUGAAUACGUUCCCGGGCCUUGUACACACCGCCCGUCACACCAUGGGAGUGGGCUGCACCAGAAGUAGAUAGCUUAACCUUCGGGAGGGCGUUUACCACGGUGUGGUUCAUGGCUGGGGUGAAGUCGUAACAAGGUAACCAGAGGG
rnacentral:rRNA from 1 species